GACGAACGCUGGCGGCGUGCCUAAUACAUGCAAGUAGGACGCAGUUGCGAACGGGUGAGUAACGCGUAGGUAACUACCUAUUAGAGGGGGAUAAAUAUUGGAAACGAUAGCUAAUACCGCCUACUAGUAGAUGGACCUGCGUUGUAUUAGCUAGUAGGUAGGGUAAUGGCCUACCUAGGCAACGAUACAUAGCCGACCUGGUGGGGUGAACGGCCACACUGGGACUUGGACACGGCCCAGACUCCUACGGGGGGCAGCAGGAGGGAAACUUCGGAAAUGGGGGGAACCCUGACCGAGCAACGCCGCGUUGUUGAAGAAGGUUUUCGGAGCGUAAAGGUCUGUUGUUAAGGAAGCGGUACUUAACCAGAAAGGGACGGCUAACUACGUGCCAGCAGCCGCGGUAAUAC
rnacentral:rRNA from 1 species